CUUGCGUAGGAAUUUUGCCUGAAGGGCUGAGCAAAGCAAAAGUGAAACCGAAUGGAGAACACAAGCUAAAUGUUUCAUUCUUUGCUCAAAUCCACUCGAGCUUUAAUUCAUAUAUGGAUGGGUUUUUUCAUCUUUUAUGCGGAAUAUAUUGAUGGAGGCACAUGUUAAGGAUAAUCUUCAGUGGAUCAAAAGUAGCCCUGGCAUGGUUCACCUCUACAUCAAAGAGCAGACAAAGGACAGAGUCUGAUGGUUGUCUGUCUACAAAAGAACUAUGUCUUCAGCAAAGAGGGAAACCAACAAGGAUAUGUCUAGAAAAAUAUAUGUUUAUUUCGACAUACAGAAAAAUGAAGUUUGCAGUCUGUGCUUAUAGUUUCACAUCUUGUUUUGCGUGUAUGUGUGUGCGUGGUUUGUUUCCCAGAUGGUAUUCCAGUCUCGAGUUUGAAACCACAGAAGCUCGCACACCGUCUGUGUAUCUUCAUGGUGUAGCUUUUGACUGUUUAAAACACGAUGUGUUCAAACUCCUGCUGCUGAUGCCGUAUUGUCACGGGACUUUGUACUCACAAAAAGUCAUGAACUACAACAUCGUAAACCGAACAAAAGGUGUUAUUUAUGAGCAGCUGUCAUCGGGGGGUGACAUCAACCUAACCUCUUUUUGAUUAGUUAAUUAUUAUUUGUUUAUUAUGUAGUCAAGUUGUUGCGUGACACCUCACGUUGCCAUGUGCAGCCAUUUUUUUAAAAAGACAAAAAAAAGCUGUAUGCAAAAGAACUCGCUAACGUGUAACUCAAAGCUUCUUUGUGUCAGUGAAACCAAUCAUGUUCUUCUACUAUGUUUUGGACAGCAUCACUACAUAAAGUUAUUUUGUGCUUUUUUUAUUAUAUUACACUGGUCGGGAAAUUUCCUAUACUUUAUCUAGUCAUUAAUGUCGGUAACUGCACUAACAGCUGCAGGUCAUUUUCACAGGUGUUUGAUCUCAAAGGACUAAGGAAACGUUGUAUUUUCGAACUCCCAUUGAAGUACACUUUUAUAAGUUUAUAAGCACGCUAUAAGACUAUAGCAGCCGUCACAGGGUGAGAGGUGGGGUACAAAACUGUCAGAAGCUUUUAAGAUAACUGUAAGUUUAUAAUUGAUUGCACAUUAGAAGCAGGUGAGUGUUAACAUAAAUGUUCAUUUUAUACAUUUUUUGUAAUAAAGUGGAAUAAAAACACAUACUGGA